rnacentral:rRNA from 1 species
AUUGAACGCUGGCGGCAGGCCUAACACAUGCAAGUCGAGCGAGUGGCGGACGGGUGAGUAAUGUAUGGGGAACUGCCUGAUGGAGGGGGAUAACUACUGGAAACGGUGGCUAAUACCGCAUACUAUCGGAUGAACCCAGAUGGGAUUAGCUAGUUGGUGGGGUAACGGCUCACCUAGGCGACGAUCCCUAGCUGGUCUGAGAGGAUGAUCAGCCACACUGGAACUGAGACACGGUCCAGACUCCUACGGGAGGCAGCAGUGGGGAAUAUUGCCCAAUGGGCGCAAGCCUGAUACAGCCAUGCCGCGUGUAUGAAGAAGGCCUUAGGGUUGUAAAGUACUUUCAGCGGGGAGGCGUUACCCGCAGAAGAAGCACCGGCUAACUCCGUGCCAGCCGCCGCGGUAAUUC